AGACUCUCCCCAGCACGCCGGAGCCACCACCGCUGGACCUUCCACCUCUGCCUCUCCACCGCAGCUCACUUCUUUUCUUCCAGUCCAUCGCCGACCGAACCUGCGUCUCCUCCUCCUCCAGACCAUCAACGGCGUCCUCCUACAGCAGCAGCUCCUCCUCCACAGAUCCUCCCUCUCAGCUGUUCCCCUUGCUCUUCGCAGCUCCUCAACCGGAUCGAAGCCUCCAGUAGCAGUCUGAAACGGCGACGCCCACGGAUCUCUGAUCUGUCCGCCGCCGGUUUCCUGCUUCAAUCGACCACCCACAGCUCCUCC
rnacentral:lncRNA from 1 species